rnacentral:rRNA from 1 species
UACGUAGGGUGCAGGCGUUAAUCGGAAUUACUGGGCGUAAAGCGUGCGCAGGCGGUUUGCUAAGACAGGUGUGAAAUCCCCGAGCUUAACUUGGGAACUGCGCUUGUAACUGGCAAGCUAGAGUGUGGCAGAGGGGGGUGGAAUUCCACGUGUAGCAGUGAAAUGCGUAGAGAUGCGGAGGAACACCGAUGGCGAAGGCAGCCCCCUGGGCUGACACUGACGCUCAGGCACGAAAGCGUGGGGAGCAAACAGG